rnacentral:rRNA from 1 species
UACAGAGGUCUCAAGCGUUGUUCGGAUUCAUUGGGCGUAAAGGGUGCGUAGGUGGCGGGGUAAGUCAGGUGUGAAAUCUCGGAGCUCAACUCCGAAACUGCACUUGAUACUGCCUUGCUCGAGUACUGGAGAGGAGAUUGGAAUUUACGGUGUAGCAGUGAAAUGCGUAGAUAUCGUAAGAAGACCAGUGGCGAAGGCGAAUCUCUGGACAGUUACUGACACUGAGGCACGAAGGCCAGGGGAGCAAACAGG